GCUUCCUUGGCUCAGCUGGUUAGAGCGCUGGUCUCAUAAUCCAGAGGUCGCCAGUUCGAUCCUGGCAGGGAGCA
rnacentral:tRNA from 1 species